rnacentral:rRNA from 1 species
GACAGAGGAUGCAAGCGUUAUCCGGAAUGAUUGGGCGUAAAGCGUCUGUAGGUGGCUUUUUAAGUCUGCCGUCAAAUCCCAGGGCUUAACCCUGGACAGGCGGUGGAAACUACCAAGCUGGAGUACGGUAGGGGCAGGGGGAAUUUCCGGUGGAGCGGUGAAAUGCGUAGAGAUCGGAAAGAACACCAACGGCGAAAGCACUCUGCUGGGCCGGCACUGACACUGAGAGACGAAAGCUAGGGGAGCGAAUGGG